UGAGGCCUCCCCAGCAAUGCAGAACUAAGUUUACGAAGACAAAAGAGGAAUGACGACUCAGCAUAUUGUAAUUAUCCAGUUGAUAUUUAUCUUGUUCCAGUCACCUUUAGAAAGCUGUUUGGCAAGGGCAGUGACUGGAAGCUGGGAGAGAGGGUCAACAGCUGAAUCUCAGCCUGAUGGAGGCCACCAUUUAAUAAGUAAAUACAUGCACGGCUAUUUAGAUCCUGCAUCAGACAGGUCAUCAGAAAACAUGAAGCUAAAUGCAGUAAAGAAUUACUCUCUUGAACUCUUGAAAAUAUCAAAAACAUGAAGCUAAAUGCAGUAAAGAAUUAGUCUCUUGAACUCUUGAAAAUAUCAUUUUCUUAUAGAAAUGGUUUAAAAAUUUCUUUUUUAUUAUUUCUAAUUUUCCUUCAGAAAAUUGUGAGUUUUAACCUACAACACAUACACUCCAAGGUAAUGCCACUCUAAUGCUGUCUAGUUGAUCUGAAUAACUAACUGGUCAAUUAUCAGAUCCACCAAACUGUCUCUCUGGAGAUUAACUUCUGCCAGCAUAUUGGUUUCUGUUCAUUUUCACAAGAUUGACAGGCUCAUUACAGCAAUAUUAACAUCUUCCUUUGAGCACUCACACUGUGCAAUUGUAAUUUUGCAUAUGUUGAUGAGCAGGCAAUUACAUCAAAGAGUGAACACUGGGCUGAUGUGCAAGGCACUAUUUAAUUAUAAAAACAGUAUAGGAUUGAGCCCUGUCACUGAGUCUUCCAUUCCUUCUAUCUCGCCUGUUUCUAAUUUAUUUCUCUAUUUCUUCAUUUCUUCCUUGACUGUCUUCAUUCUUUGCUUUUUAUUUCUUUCUCCUUAAAUGACAGACCUUUUCUUAGAUGCCAUUUCUCUAUGUCUGCGCUUAAGACAAGAAUUUUUUUCCUCCUAGUUGUUGGUUAAUGUCUGCAAAUGUGAGAGCAUGUUAACAUGACAAACAACAAGGAAUUUGAAAUAAACUUAAAUGAAACA